rnacentral:rRNA from 1 species
AGUGAACGCUGGCGGUAGGCCUAACACAUGCAAGUCGUACGGCAGCACAGUAAGAGCUUGCUCUUACGGGUGGCGAGUGGCGGACGGGUGAGGAAUACAUCGGAAUCUACUUUUUCGUGGGGGAUAACGUAGGGAAACUUACGCUAAUACCGCAUACGACCUACGGGUGAAAGCAGGGGAUCUUCGGACCUUGCGCGAUUGAAUGAGCCGAUGUCGGAUUAGCUAGUUGGCGGGGUAAAGGCCCACCAAGGCGACGAUCCGUAGCUGGUCUGAGAGGAUGAUCAGCCACACUGGAACUGAGACACGGUCCAGACUCCUACGGGAGGCAGCAGUGGGGAAUAUUGGACAAAGGGCGCAAGCCUGAUCCAGCCAUACCGCGUGGGUGAAGAAGGCCUUCGGGUUGUAAAGCCCUUUUGUUGGGAAAGAAAAGCAGCAGGUUAAUACCCCGCUGUUCUGACGGUACCCAAAGAAUAAGCACCGGCUAACUUCGUG